CGCCGUCCUCGAGUACCUCGCCGCUGAGGUUCUUGAGCUCGCCGGGAACGCGGCGAGGGACAACAAGAAGACCCGCAUAGUGCCCCGCCACAUCCAGCUCGCCGUCCGCAACGACGAGGAGCUAUCCCGCCUGCUCGGCACGGUCACAAUCGCCAGCGGAGGCGUCAUGCCCAACAUCCACAACCUGCUCCUCCCCAAGAAGGCCGGCGGCAGCGCCAAGGCGGCGGCCGGCGACGAUGACAACUAGAUUCUGACGCUUCCCGGCGAUGGCGGCGGCGGUGGAUGUGGAUGCAGUGGAUGGAUGGAUGAUAUGUUGUGUAGUAGUAGUAGUGUUCUAGGAUGCCUAGGUGUUGCGUUGAUCUCUAGUAGGAUCUGAAUUAGAUGCUUAAUUGUGCUUGUACCGAUGCUAAAACUAAGAAGGUGCACUUGUGUAUGAUGGACAGG
rnacentral:misc_RNA from 1 species